GAUGAACGCUGGCGGCGUGCUUAACACAUGCAAGUCGAACGGUGAAGGCGGAGCUUGCUCUGCUGGAUCAGUGGCGAACGGGUGAGUAACACGUGAGCAAUCUGCCCCUGACUCUGGGAUAAGCGCUGGAAACGGCGUCUAAUACUGGAUACGAGCUGCGAAGGCAUCUUCAGCAGCUGGAAAGAAUUUCGGUCAGGGAUGAGCUCGCGGCCUAUCAGCUUGUUGGUGAGGUAAUGGCUCACCAAGGCGUCGACGGGUAGCCGGCCUGAGAGGGUGACCGACCACACUGGGACUGAGACACGGCCCAGACUCCUACGGGAGGCAGCAGUGGGGAAUAUUGCACAAUGGGCGAAAGCCUGAUGCAGCAACGCCGCGUGAGGGACGACGGCCUUCGGGUUGUAAACCUCUUUUAGCAGGGAAGAAGCGAAAGUGACGGUACCUGCAGAAAAAGCGCCGGCUAACUACGCG
rnacentral:rRNA from 1 species